CGAGCAGACCUUCGGGUCUAGCGGCGGACGGGUUAGUAACGCGUGGGAACGUGCCCUUCUCUGCGGAAUAGCCACUGGAAACGGUGAGUAAUACCGCAUACGCCCUUCGGGGGAAAGAUUUAUCGGAGAAGGAUCGGCCCGCGUUAGAUUAGAUAGUUGGUGGGGUAAUGGCCUACCAAGUCUACGAUCUAUAGCUGGUUUUAGAGGAUGAUCAGCAACACUGGGACUGAGACACGGCCCAGACUCCUACGGGAGGCAGCAGUGGGGAAUCUUAGACAAUGGGCGCAAGCCUGAUCUAGCCAUGCCGCGUGUGUGAUGAAGGUCUUAGGAUCGUAAAGCACUUUCGCCAGGGAUGAUAAUGACAGUACCUGGUAAAGAAACCCCGGCUAACUCCGUGCCAGCAGCCGCGGUAAUACGGAGGGGGUUAGC
rnacentral:rRNA from 1 species